AAAACAUCGCCUCUUGACAAUUUAUAAGAGGUCCAGCCUGCCCAGUGACCUAGUUUAACGGCCGCGGUAUCCUGACCGUGCGAAGGUAGCGUAAUCACUUGUCUUUUAAAUAGAGACUAGUAUGAAUGGCAUCACGAGGGUUGUACUGUCUCCUUUUUCUAAUCAGUAAAACUAAUCUUCCCGUGAAGAAGCGGGAAUUUUUUUAUAAGACGAGAAGACCCUACGGAGCUUAAAACGAAAUAAUACCUGCUAUCCCCAUUAUUUUCCCCCGGGCAUUAACCAUUACUCUAGCAUCAUAAUUAUUAGUUUUCGGUUGGGGCGACCACGGAGUAAAAACCAACCUCCAUGUUGAAUGGACUUUUCCCCUAAACAAAAAGCCACGACUUUAAGUAUCAACAAAUUGACAUUAAUUGACCCAAUAUUUUGAUCAACGAACCAAGUUACCCUAGGGAUAACAGCGCAAUCCACUUCAAGAGCUCCUAUCGAAAAGUGGGCUUACGACCUCGAUGUUGGAUCAGGAUUUCCCAGUGGUGCAGCCGCUACUAAAGGUUCG
rnacentral:rRNA from 1 species